rnacentral:rRNA from 1 species
UUUCUAAAUUCACUUUCCCAGUAAAUUUACUUUGUUUACGACUUAUCUUAUUUUAUUACAAAGUAAACUUAACGGGCGAUUUGUACAUAUUUUAUUUCUUAUUCAAAAUUUUAAAUUUAAAAAUUAUUUACUAUUAAAUCCUUUUUUAUAUUUUUUUUAAAAAAAUACUUAAAUUAUUAAAAAUAAAUGUAAUCCAUUUUUUCUUAAAUAUAAACUAUAUGUUGACUUGAAAUUAAUUUAAUAAAAAUUUUUAAAAUAUAAUUUUUAUAAUUUAUUUUUUACAGCGAUAUAUAAAUUUAAAAUUUAAGUAUUUAAAUUCGUGGAUUAUCAAUUAUAAAACAGAUUCCUCUAAUAAGAUUAAAAUACCGCCAAAUUUUUUAAGUUUGAAGAUUAUAACUUUUACUACUUUAUUAAAUAUUAAAUUAAUAUAAUAGGGUAUCUAAUCCUAGUUUUAAUUUUAAUUUUUAUAUUAAAUUAAUUAAAUUUUUAUUUUAUAAUUAUAAAUUUUACUUAUAAAUUAUAAUUUUAAUAAAUUAUAUUUUAUUUAAUUAAUAUAUUUAUAAGUAAUUUUCAUAUUUUAUCGUUUAACCGGCACCUGCGGGCACAUAAUUAGUUAAUUUUAAAUUAAAAUUAAAAUUAAAUUUCUUUAAUUUGUUAAUAUUAUUUAUUGAAUUAUUUUAUUUUAAAUUAUUAAUUUACAUAUAAAUUUUUUAAUUAUAAAUUUUUAAACUAAAAUAAAAUUUAUU